rnacentral:rRNA from 1 species
CGCAUCUGUGCAUGCAGCAUAUCAAUAAGCGGAGGAAAAGAAACUAACAAGGAUUCCCUUAGUAACGGCGAGUGAAGCGGGAAGAGCUCAAAUUUGAAAUCUUCAAGGUUUUACCUUGACGAAUUGUAGUUUAAAGAAGUGUUUUCUGUUGAAGUUUUGGUAAAAGUUCUUUGGAAUAGGACAUCAUAGAGGGUGAGAAUCCCGUAUUUGACCAUUAUUUUCAGCUGUGUGAUACACUUUCAAAGAGUCGGAUUGUUUGGGAAUGCAGUCCAAAAUGGGUGGUAAAUUUCAUCUAAAGCUAAAUAUUGGCGAGAGACCGAUAGCGAACAAGUACCGUGAGGGAAAGAUGAAAAGAACUUUGAAAAGAGAGUUAAACAGUACGUGAAAUUGUCAAAAGGGAAGCGUUUGACACCAGUGUUGUUUUCUCGAAAAUCAAUUAAAAAGAGUUAGAUUUUGUUGUGUAUUGACCUUAACAGCUUGCAUUUCAAUUUUCUUGCUUUUUUUAAUGCACUCUUCGUUUAACAAGUCAACAUCAGUUUCUUUUGUUGUAAAAAGGUCAUUGGAAGGUGGCUUUCUUUUCGGAGAAAGUGUUUAUAGCCUUUGACUCCUGCAAUCGGAGAGACUGAGGUCUGCAGCGUAGAUCCUUCGGGGUUAGAUACAUUUGUGCUAGGUUAUAGCUUUUUAUAGACAACUUGUUGACUAUGAUUAGUCUUGUAGCUUACUCGCUUAUGCUAUUUUACCUACGCUUAGGAUGUUGAACUCUAUCACACACAG